GGGGUGUUAGCUCAGUAGGCAGAGCAUCUGGCUCAUAACCGGACGGUCACGGGUUCGAUUCCCCUACACCCCACCA
rnacentral:tRNA from 1 species